AUGUUUCAUGAGGAGAACAAUGGCAGAAUGGUUGACCAUGAGAAGUAUAAAAAAGAGUUGGAGAAGGUGCACAAGGAGUUGGAUACACUUGGUGAUCAGUACAGUCAGCUGGUUGAGGAUGUCACCAAGAUGUUUGAUUGGGAAGAUCAGAACAACAGGGUCAUCAGUGAUGAAGAGUUCAAGCAGAAGCAGAUGGAUGUGGACAAGGACAUGGAGAAGCUAGCUAUCAGCAAGGAGAAGGACAGUGAUGGCAUUGGCAAGAUGAAGGAGAUGGAGAAACUAGCUCAGGAGCUCAAGGAGAUGAAGUGCAUUUAUAGAUCUCAGGGAGAGAUCAUUAGGAACACCAGGAAGGAGAGGGAUGGCUUCAAGAAAGAGAGGGACUGGCUGAUAGAGGAGAAGAAGAGGCUGGAGUUUCUGGUGGGUGAUCUUAUGAAAGCAGGUCAUGGCAACAAGGACAAGCUUGAGAAGAUCAAGUCAAUCCUUUCUGAGUGA
rnacentral:rRNA from 1 species